AAGAACUUAGGUUAAUUAAAACCAAGGGCCUUCAAAGCCCUAAAUAAGAAUAUAUCUUCUUAGUUUUUGU
rnacentral:tRNA from 1 species